rnacentral:rRNA from 1 species
AGAGUUUGAUCCUGGCUCAGGAUGAACGCUAGCUACAGGCUUAACACAUGCAAGUCGAGGGGCAUCAGGAAGAAAGCUUGCUUUCUUUGCUGGCGACCGGCGCACGGGUGAGUAACACGUAUCCAACCUGCCCUUUACUCGGGGAUAGCCUUUCGAAAGAAAGAUUAAUACCCGAUAGCAUAAUGAUUCCGCAUGGUUUCAUUAUUAAAGGAUUCCGGUAAAGGAUGGGGAUGCGUUCCAUUAGGUUGUUGGUGAGGUAACGGCCCACCAAGCCUUCGAUGGAUAGGGGUUCUGAGAGGAAGGUCCCCCACAUUGGAACUGAGACACGGUCCAAACUCCUACGGGAGGCAGCAGUGAGGAAUAUUGGUCAAUGGACGAGAGUCUGAACCAGCCAAGUAGCGUGAAGGAUGACUGCCCUAUGGGUUGUAAACUUCUUUUAUAUGGGAAUAAAGUUUUCCACGUGUGGAAUUUUGUAUGUACCAUAUGAAUAAGGAUCGGCUAACUCCGUGCCAGCAGCCGCGGUAAUACGGAGGAUCCGAGCGUUAUCCGGAUUUAUUGGGUUUAAAGGGAGCGUAGAUGGAUGUUUAAGUCAGUUGUGAAAGUUUGCGGCUCAACCGUAAAAUUGCAGUUGAUACUGGAUAUCUUGAGUGCAGUUGAGGCAGGCGGAAUUCGUGGUGUAGCGGUGAAAUGCUUAGAUAUCACGAAGAACUCCGAUUGCGAAGGCAGCCUGCUAAGCUGCAACUGACAUUGAGGCUCGAAAGUGUGGGUAUCAAACAGGAUUAGAUACCCUGGUAGUCCACACGGUAAACGAUGAAUACUCGCUGUUUGCGAUAUACUGCAAGCGGCCAAGCGAAAGCGUUAAGUAUUCCACCUGGGGAGUACGCCGGCAACGGUGAAACU